rnacentral:rRNA from 1 species
UACAGAGGGUGCGAGCGUUGUCCGGAAUCACUGGGCGUAAAGGGCGCGUAGGUGGUGGCUUAAGCGUGCGGUGAAAGCUCGGAGCUCAACUCCGAGUCGGCCGUGCGAACUGGGCUCACUGGAGCAUAGUAGAGGCAAGUGGAAUUCCGGGUGUAGCGGUGGAAUGCGUAGAGAUCCGGAAGAACACCGGUGGCGAAGGCGGCCUGCUGGGCUAUGGCUGACACUGAGGCGCGGACAGCGUGGGGAGCAAACAGG